UGGGAAUUACAGGAGCAAACGUUUCUAUGCUCCCCCUAUCAUCUCCAUCCCUGAGGUUAUCGCAGAUUAGAAGGCGAAAAAAAACCACACUCGCAAUGACGUGUUUUCCGAGCUCAUACAGUCCUACUGCACUGAUAGGGCACAGCUUAAUGCAUGGAGGCAUUCAGUGGGAGAGGCCAGGAAAGAAUUAAGCGAGCGUGAAGAGUGGAGGGAGGAUGCAAUGCUGAGGCUAAUGAGGAAGGAAACGGACAUGAUGAAGCGUCUGUUGGAGCUGCACGAAAGCCAACAAGAGCACAGCCCCCGCUGCAUCCACUGUAUA